UACGUAGGGCGCAAGCGUUGUCCGGAAUUAUUGGGCGUAAAGAGCUCGUAGGCGGCCUGUCGCGUCGGAUGUGAAAGCCCGGGGCUUAACCCCGGGUCUGCAUUCGAUACGGGCAGACUAGAGUGUGGUAGGGGAGAUCGGAAUUCCUGGUGUAGCGGUGAAAUGCGCAGAUAUCAGGAGGAACACCGGUGGCGAAGGCGGAUCUCUGGGCCAUUACUGACGCUGAGGAGCGAAAGCGUGGGGAGCGAACAGG
rnacentral:rRNA from 1 species